UACGGAGGGGGUUAGCGUUGUUCGGAAUUACUGGGCGUAAAGCGCGCGUAGGCGGAUUAGAAAGUUGGGGGUGAAAUCCCGGGGCUCAACCUCGGAACUGCCUCCAAAACUGCUAGUCUAGAGUUCGAGAGAGGUGAGUGGAAUUCCGAGUGUAGAGGUGAAAUUCGUAGAUAUUCGGAGGAACACCAGUGGCGAAGGCGGCUCACUGGCCCGAUACUGACGCUGAGGUGCGAAAGUGUGGGGAGCAAACAGG
rnacentral:rRNA from 1 species